GUCUAUGGCCAUACCACCCUGAAUGCGCCCGAUUUCGUCUGAUCUCGGAAGCUAAGCAGGGUUGGACCUGGUUAGUACUUGGAUGGGAGAAGGCUGAGAGGCAAGACAGGAAGACUGAGGCC
rnacentral:rRNA from 1 species